ACGAAAGGUGCAAGCGUUGUUCGGAAUCAUUGGGCGUAAAGCGCACGUAGGCGGGACAGCAGGUCAUUUGUGAAAUCCCAGGGCUCAACCUUGGAAUUGCAGUUGAAACCGUUGUUCUUGAAUACUUGAGAGGGUGGGGGAAUUCCUGGUGGAGAAGUGAAAUUCGUAGAUAUCAGGAGGAACAUCAGAGGCGAAGGCGCCUACCUGGCAAGAUAUUGACGCUGAGGUGCGAAAGCGUGGGGAGCAAACAGG
rnacentral:rRNA from 1 species